AUUGAACGCUGGCGGCAUGCCUUACACAUGCAAGUCGAACGGCAGCACGGAGCUUGCUCUGGUGGCGAGCGGCGAACGGGUGAGUAAUAUAUCGGAACGUACCCUAGAGUGGGGGAUAACGUAGCGAAAGUUACGCUAAUACCGCAUACGAUCUAAGGAUGAAAGUGGGGGAUCGCAAGACCUCAUGCUCGUGGAGCGGCCGAUAUCUGAUUAGCUAGUUGGUAGGGUAAAAGCCUACCAAGGCAUCGAUCAGUAGCUGGUCUGAGAGGACGACCAGCCACACUGGAACUGAGACACGGUCCAGACUCCUACGGGAGGCAGCAGUGGGGAAUUUUGGACAAUGGGCGAAAGCCUGAUCCAGCAAUGCCGCGUGAGUGAAGAAGGCCUUCGGGUUGUAAAGCUCUUUUGUCAGGGAAGAAACGGUGAGAGCUAAUAUCUCUUGCUAAUGACGGUACCUGAAGAAUAAGCACCGGCUAACUACGUGCCAGCAGCCGCGGUAAUACGUAGGGUGCAAGCGUUAAUCGGAAUUACUGGGCGUAAAGCGUGCGCAGGCGGUUUUGUAAGUCUGAUGUGAAAUCCCCGGGCUCAACCUGGGAAUUGCAUUGGAGACUGCAAGGCUAGAAUCUGGCAGAGGGGGGUAGAAUUCCACGUGUAGCAGUGAAAUGCGUAGAUAUGUGGAGGAACACCGAUGGCGAAGGCAGCCCCCUGGGUCAAGAUUGACGCUCAUGCACGAAAGCGUGGGGAGCAAACAGGAUUAGAUACCCUGGUAGUCCACGCCCUAAACGAUGUCUACUAGUUGUCGGGUCUUAAUUGACUUGGUAACGCAGCUAACGCGUGAAGUAGACCGCCUGGGGAGUACGGUCGCAAGAUUAAAACUCAAAGGAAUUGACGGGGACCCGCACAAGCGGUGGAUGAUGUGGAUUAAUUCGAUGCAACGCGAAAAACCUUACCUACCCUUGACAUGGCUGGAAUCCCCGAGAGAUCAGGGAGUGCUCGAAAGAGAACCAGUACACAGGUGCUGCAUGGCUGUCGUCAGCUCGUGUCGUGAGAUGUUGGGUUAAGUCCCGCAACGAGCGCAACCCUUGUCAUUAGUUGCUACGAAAGGGCACUCUAAUGAGACUGCCGGUGACAAACCGGAGGAAGGUGGGGAUGACGUCAAGUCCUCAUGGCCCUUAUGGGUAGGGCUUCACACGUCAUACAAUGGUACAUACAGAGCGCCGCCAACCCGCGAGGGGGAGCUAAUCGCAGAAAGUGUAUCGUAGUCCGGAUUGUAGUCUGCAACUCGACUGCAUGAAGUUGGAAUCGCUAGUAAUCGCGGAUCAGCAUGUCGCGGUGAAUACGUUCCCGGGUCU
rnacentral:rRNA from 1 species